rfam:Myotis davidii contig157880, whole genome shotgun sequence.
ACAAAGGAUUUCUUAAAAUCCAACAGCAGAAUUUUAAGAUGGAAUU